rnacentral:lncRNA from 1 species
UCUGCACCGUGCAUGCAGGUGGGGCGGCGCGGAUCUGCACGGUGCAUGCAGGCGGUGCUGCGGGGCUGCAGGGUGCAUGCAUCGGGGCUGCAGGGCUGCAAGGUGCAUGCAGCGGUGCUGCGGGGCUGCAGGGUGCAUGCAUCGGGGCUGCAAGGUGCAUGCAUUGGUGCUGUGCACGUCUGCAUCGUGCGUGCAUCGGGGCUGCAAGGUGCAUGCACUUGCAUCAGGGCUGCAGAGCUGCAAGGUGCGUGCAUUGGUGCCGUGCACGUCUGCAUCGUGCACGCAUCAGGGCUGCAGAGCUGCAAGGUGCGUGCACUGGUGCUGUGCACGUCUGCAUCGUGUGCAUUGGUGCUGUGCAGACCUGCACUGUGUGUGCUCUGGUGCUGCAAAUACGCAAGGUGUGUUCGCUGGUGCUGUGCAGACCUGCGCUGUGCGUGCAUCAGGGCUGCAAGGUG